rnacentral:tRNA from 1 species
GUCCUCGUAGUUCAAUUGGAUAGAACAUCGGCCUCCGAAGCCGGAGAUUGUGAGUUCGAGUCUCACCGAGGGCA